rnacentral:lncRNA from 1 species
UGGUUAUUUAAUUUAUCCAAACCUGAAAGGUGUGAAACAAUAAAUUUUGGAGUUAAAGCUCCCCCUUUCAUUUGGAAUUAUAUAAGCCUUCAUGUCAUGCAAUCAAUUGUUUGGCUUAUAUGUCUUUAAUGAUUUUGCUUUCUUAAAAAUUCAGAUUCUCCCCCUCAACAUAUGCAUUCAACUUUGUUUUGAUUCUCUGAAUUUU